AUUGAACGCUGGCGGUAUGCUUAACACAUGCAAGUCGAACGGAAACAGGACGCUGUGAUCUCUUCGGAGUGAACUUGUCGCUGUCGAGUGGCGGACGGGUGAGUAAUACUUAGGAAUCUGCCCAGUAGUGGGGGACAACACGGGGAAACCCGUGCUAAUACCGCAUACGCCCUAAGGGGGAAAGUGGAGGAUCUUCGGACUUCACGCUAUUGGAUGAGCCUAAGGCGGAUUAGCUUGUUGAUGGGGUAAAGGCCUACCAAGGCGACGAUCCGUAGCUGGUCUGAGAGGACGAUCAGCCACACUGGGACUGAGACACGGCCCAG
rnacentral:rRNA from 1 species